GAGUUUGAUCCUGGCUCAGGACGAACGCUGGCGGCGCGCCUAACACAUGCAAGUCGAACGAGCGAGAGGAGGUUUACUUUCUCAAGCGAGUGGCGAACGGGUGAGUAACGCGUGAGGAACCUGCCUCAAAGAGGGGGACAACAGUUGGAAACGACUGCUAAUACCGCAUAAGCCCACGACCUGGCAUCGGGUAGAGGGAAAAGGAGCAAUCCGCUUUGAGAUGGCCUCGCGUCCGAUUAGCUAGUUGGUGAGGUAAUGGCCCACCAAGGCAACGAUCGGUAGCCGGACUGAGAGGUUGAACGGCCACAUUGGGACUGAGACACGGCCCAGACUCCUACGGGAGGCAGCAGUGGGGAAUAUUGCACAAUGGGGGAAACCCUGACCCAGCAACGCCGCGUGAGGGAUGACGGUUUUCGGAUUGUAAACCUCUGUCCUCUGUGAAGAUAGUGACGGUAGCAGAGGAGGAAGCUCCGGCUAACUACGUGCCAGCCGCCGCGGUAAUUC
rnacentral:rRNA from 1 species